ACCCCACCAGCUUCUCCAAAAAUUGGGGCCAAAAAGGAUGUCAAGCUAACUGCUGUCGAGAAAAAUAAUGAGAAAAAGGGAGAUCAACAAAAGCAAGCCAAAACUAAGCCAACUGGACAAGCUGAAGUGACUAAUACUUUAGCAGAAACUGUAAAGACAGAUGCCCAACAUGUUCCAGAGAACACAGUCUGUCCACUGUGUAAGGGACAACUGAACAAAGGCUCCAAAGACCCUCCCAACUAUAACACAUGCACACAAUGUAAAACAACAGCCUGCAACCAGUGUGGAUUUAACUCGUGUUCAGAUGAGGCAGAGGUAAAGGAAUGGCUUUGUCUGAAUUGCCAGAUGCAAAAAGCCUCAGAAGCACCAGAGGCCACGAGAUCAAGCAAGGCUAUUCCAUCACCUCUGUCAGAACGAGAGGUUACUCGAACAAAAACCCAAGGAGAGGAAACUGCAACUCAAGAAAGCCUGUUUAGGAAAGACAACCAGAAACCUAUGGCUAAAUCUGCACAAAAUAGACAGGUAGAUUCAGGUAGUGAACAAGGAAAGACCAAGGAUUUAGCUCAACAGCAGCCACAGUCUGUUGAAAAACAAACUGAGGUGCAGUUACCCCAAACAACCCAA